ACUUCAUUCUCACUUUGUGUGUUUCCCUUCCCUGCCGCCACCCCCCAUCCCCCUUUUCCAUUUCCUUCUUCAACAACGCCUUAUCUCUUCACAUGAACUGAGCAAACCAACGGAAUCACUGGCUAGAUAGCCCGGUGGCUUCUCUCUUCCCAGGUAUUGAGUAAGACUUUGAAGAUUUUAAUGUAAUAUUGGGAGGAGCCACAGUUCGUUGAAAAGACAUUACAAAAAUGAGAUGAGAAUUCUUUCAAAAGUUUUUUAAAAAGGUGCAUUUCAAUCUAUUCAAUGCAGGAAGAUUAAGAAUUCAACCUUGAUGCAAAGAGUGAAAGUACUUCAUCCUUGACUGCAAAAGAUCAUCCGGUGGCGACAUGUGAAAUUCCCAGAUCAAAUAUUUAGAACUUAGUUUUCUUUUGAUGUGGAACCCUUCAGAAUUUUAUAGAUUAUAGUUAACGGUGCAUAAUUUGUACUAUACUCCUAUUAGUUUGACAAGAAUUGUGAUGAUCCAAAAUGUCAU